UGUUUGUGUAGUGUGUGUAUAUAAUGUAGUGUGUUUGUGUAGUGUGUGUAUAAAAUGUAGUGUGUUUGUUUAUAUAAUGCACACUACACAAACACACUGCAUUAUAUACACACACUACACAAAC
rnacentral:miRNA from 1 species